rnacentral:lncRNA from 1 species
GCGUCGGUGGCUGAUGGAACGGAGGCACCGCCUAGGCUUGGCGUGGGAGCUGCGGUGGGUGAUGCAGGAGGGGUUGUUAGAGAGGGAAGUGGCGACGGAGAGGCGGGCUUGGUUGGGGCUGGUGCUGGAGAUGAUGCUGGCGGGGGGACUGCGGGAGGAGGUGGAGUGGGGGAUGGAGGUGGUGGGGUGGUGGGAGCUGGUGGUGGAGUGGAGACUGGAGGAGGGGUUGCUGGUGGUGUGGAGACUGGUGGGGGAAUGUUGGCGGGAGGUGGCGUAGUGGAGGCCGGAGGAGCGGUGACGACUGGAGGUGGAGAGGUGGUGGGAGGUGAAGGGGUGGUGGUUGGUGGGGUUUGAGGGGUGGGGGGAGCUUGGGUGGUUGGUGGUGUUUGGGGUGUGGAUGGUGGUGAUUGCGGUGUGGGUGGUGCUUGGGUGGUUGGUGGUGAUUGAGGGGUGGGUGGUGCCUGGGUGGUCGGUGGUGCUUGGGUGGUUGGUGGUGCCUGUGUAAUAGGUGGUGCUUGGGUGGUUGGUGGUGCUUGUGUGGUGGGUGGGGUCUGCGUGCUUGGCGGGGCUUGGGUGGUGGGAGGAGAUUGAGCAGAGACAGCAACAAUGGCAAUGCAGAUGAAACCUAAGAAAAUGAUAGUGUUAUGACAAGUCAUGUCUGCCUUGAGCAUGAAGAGAGAACAAUAAGGUAAUGUAUGA